GCGGGCGUGGCGGAAUGGUAGACGCCGGGGACUUAAAAUCCCCUGUCCUUUGAGACGUGCGGGUUCGAGUCCCGCCGCCCGCACCA
rnacentral:tRNA from 3 species